CCUGACUCCCGUGGUAAAACUGACUUUGGUCAAGAGUGUCACUACUGUCAAGGCUCAGGUCAUUGGAAAAACGAAUGUCCGGUUCUCAGGUCUAGGGGUAAAUUCAGUACGUGUGUUAACCUCUAUGGGCUAGGUGGGACGAAUUCGUCCCGCCUAGCCUAGAGAGAUUAAAUCGGGUACAUUUUUUUAUCCAGACGUGCAAAUGCUGCCCCCUAGCCCUAACAGGUUAAAGAGGUGGGGUUUCAGGUGUCUCCGGAAGGUGGUGAUUGACUCCGCUGUCCUGGCGUCGUGAGGGAGCUUGUUCCACCAUUGGGGUGCCAGAGCAGCGAACAGUUUUGACUGGGCUGAGCGGGAACUGUGCUUCCUCAG
rnacentral:lncRNA from 1 species